GCACCGGCAGUGUAGGGGUAUCAUGCAAUCUUCCCACGGUUGCGACCUGAGUUCGAAUCCCAAUCGGCACA